UAAGGAUUCUCCUCAGAGUUUUUUGUGAAUACAAGUUUCAUUCAGUUCGUUAUAUCAUUAUUUAAAUCGUGAGUUUCAAUAUUUAAGAAGAGUGUGAAUUAUUUUGAAGUUACCAACUUUUAAGGUAUAAUACAGUUCAUGGAAAGAAACUCUUCGUAGGAAGCUGGAAAAUUUGGAAACGAUGCACGCUUUCUACGCCGAGAACGUUGGAUACAAAAUAAAAAUGAACAGGGCCGGACCUCGACGAGGACGGAACCACCGGUCGGUUGAAAUUAGUAAGGAGACUACACGUAAAAUAAUGUGAAUCGUUUCAAAAUGGAUUUGUAUAAAAAUUGUAUCGAAAUUUUUUAUUUUCGAAGAUACACUUACAAAAAUAUUGUUUUGAAGGCAAAAA